GCUUAACGCGAAGAACCUUACCUACUCUUGACAUCCACGGAAUUCGCCAGAGAUGGCUUAGUGCCUUCGGGAACCGUGAGACAGGUGCUGCAUGGCUGUCGUCAGCUCGUGUUGUGAAAUGUUGGGUUAAGUCCCGCAACGAGCGCAACCCUUAUCCUUUGUUGCCAGCACGCAAUGGUGGGAACUCAAAGGAGACUGCCGGUGAUAAACCGGAGGAAGGUGGGGAUGACGUCAAGUCAUCAUGGCCCUUACGAGUAGGGCUACACACGUGCUACAAUGGCAUAUACAAAGAGAAGCGAACUCGCGAGAGCAAGCGGACCUCAUAAAGUAUGUCGUAGUCCGGAUUGGAGUCUGCAACUCGACUCCAUGAAGUCGGAAUCGCUAGUAAUCGUAGAUCAGAAUGCUACGGUGAAUACGUUCCCGGGUCUUGUACACACCG
rnacentral:rRNA from 1 species